CCAGCACCCAGCGUGCACGGGACGGCCCCACGACAGAGGAACCAGCCGCGGAGGUCAGCGAGCGCGCGGGAGGGCCUGUGGUGGACCACCUCCACCAAGCUCAGAGAUUUGCAGCCAGGUGCUUGUUGGCCUGCCUGCUCAGGAUGAAAGAGGAGCUGAGAGAAGUGCUCUGCCUGCAGUGCAGUGCCCAGCUCCAAGGCUCUAGAGGGUGUUCAGGUACACUGAGGAGGGGACGGCUCCGUCUUCACAUUGUGCACAGAUCUGAGGAUGGGAUUAGCGAAGCUGUGGAGACUGCACAUCCGGACCUGCCCAUGUCUCAAAACAAACACAUGUACAGUGGCUCUUUUUCCUUCUCAAACACUUUACCCCAGAAGCAGGUGGUCUGCCCCAGGCAUAAAGAAGGAAAAUUGGCCAUCUUUCCCACCUCUAAAUUCUGUAAAAUUAUAGACUUGCUCAAAAGAUUCCUUUUUAUCAUCCCCACACUGUGUAAGUGGAAAGGGCAUUGUGUUCCGUGUGUGUCCAGUUUACAGCGUCUCUGCCCCCUAGCGUGUUUUGUGACAAUCUCCCUGGGUGAGGAGUGGGUGCACCCAGCCCUGAGGCCAGUGGUUGCUCGGGGCCUUCCGUGUGAGUUCUAGUGUUCACUUGAUGCCGGGGAAUAGAAUUAGAGAAAACUCUGACCUGCCGGGUUCCAGGGACUGGUGGAGGUGGAUGGCAGGUCCGACUCGACCGUGACUUAGUUGUAAGGGUGUGUCGGCUUUUUCAGUCUCGUGUGAAAAUCCUCCUGUCUCUGGCAGCACCGUCUGCACUUUCUUGUUUACUGUUUGAAGGGACGAGUACCAAGCCACAAGAACACUUCUUUUGGCCACAGCAUAAGCUGAUGGUAUGUAAGGAACCGAUGGGCCAUUAAACAUGAACUGAACGGUUAAAAGCACAGUCUAUGGAAUGCUAAUGGAGUCAGCCCCUAAAGCUGUUUGUUUUUUCAGGCUUUGGAUUACAUGCUUUUAAUUUGAUUUUAGAAUCUGGACACUUUCUAUGAAUGUAAUUCGGCUGAGAAACAUGUUGCUAAGAUGCAAUCCUCAGUGUUCUCUGUAUGUAAAUCUGUGUAUACACCACACGUUACAACUGCAUGAGCUUCCUCUCGCACAAGACCAGCUGGAACUGAGCAUGAGACGCUGUCAAAUACAGACAAAGGAUUUGAGAUGUUCUCAAUAAAAAGAAAAUGUUUCACUACUCUGGUGUUGCUGAGACUUUCUUUUCCUUUCAAAUUAUUUCUGCCCUUGGCUCCACUAGCAGGCCUGGGGAUGGACACCCACAUGCAUAACCUGAAAAGGUGGCUGAGUCCCGCCCAAGAGCUGCAGCUCUGCCUCCACGUGGUCUUGUCACCUGCUGUGCUUGCACCAGUGCUACUGGAAUUUCCCCACCUUGGGACAGUCUCCCCUCAGUCCCCACCCCUGUUAGAUUCUUGAUUUCUUCACUGUCUUCCUGGAGAGCGUGUUGGCGCCUCUCCUAUAUAUAAGGUGGUGUAGAGGAAAAGUAGGCAGCUGCCCCACUCCCAUCCUGCAUAUAAAAUGGAUGUUGACACAUGCCCGUGUGACUCGUUACCCUCACGUUACUUGUGGCUAGAACACAGGAAGAACCUACACACUCAAUCAGAGGCAAGGGUGACACGGGUGCUGAGGUGCAGUGAAAAAAACCAGGUGCUAAGUGACACCAUAGAACUAUGUUAUUUCUAGUUACAACACUGGAAGGACAGUCACAAUAAGUGGAAAGUUGGCAGCAAAGCGGCAUUUCCGUGUCAUAGCUGUAACAGUGUAUAUAUGCUUCACGUACUGUACAAGCACAGGUGGGCCAGGCUGGCUAAGGCGGGAGUCUGGCCGUGGUCUGUGGACAUGGGAUUUGAGAUGGUUUUGAUUUUGUGUUCCUAUGUAAAAAGCAUAUCCAUUUGUCUGAUGUUUCUACAAUUAAAUGAAAAACAAAUAUAGGAAAAUAUUUUGAAAAGUCAAAAGCAUCAUACAAGUAAUAAAGCACUAUUACAGACAGGUAACUUGAUUUUCUCAUUUGCAUCAAUUUUGAAACUAUUUCAUUUCCCACAAUAAAAACGUUAAAAUAUGUUGCAGCAAAAACAAGCUUCAGAGAAAAAAAUGAAGGGAACCCUCUCCCUGAUGAGUGAAUCCUUUGAACAGUGAUUCGGGAGCUGCCUCGGGGGCCGCACCGGAUGGAAUACUCGGACUCGCUAUUCUGUCAUGGAACUGGGGAAAUGUCCUGAAUUUGACCACGUAAGAUGAAAGUUUUGCUUUUUACGAGAUACUGUAUAGUGAAUCUCGUAGAGCCUGACUGUAAAUGUUGAGGUUCUCGAGCUUUUAUUCAGUACAUGCGUAAUGAAGGCCGACCCGGAAGGCACUAUUUCAGGUGCUUGGAACAGGUCAGUGAACACAACACAGACUCCCCCCCAAAUAGCUGCUGCUCUGCAGGAAAGCAAAUAACACACCAGACGCCAGUGUCAGGGAAUGGUGCCUGGGAAGAAAGAAAAAGCAGGUGAGGAUAGUGCAGUGGGGCAGGCUGCAAUGGUAAGUACUGGGAUCAGGGUGGCCUCACGGAGAAGGCUUGCAAGGUAGAUGGUCAGCCAGAGGGGGCCUGGCGAGCCCGGAGCACUGGACCAGGCAUCAGUGUGCCACUGCUGGAGGCUGCAGUGCCAGGAACCUGGCCCACCAGUAGGUGAACGCAGCUGUUAUUUAACGUCACAUUUGAUAAACUCAGAAUGAUAUUAAAAACAAAGGUAAACACUCGAAACUCGUCACUUCCUACUUUUUGCUGCAUUUUACUGUAAUCUGUGUUCUUACUGUGUGCAUACUCUGCGAUGGUGGGCACGCCCCUCCUAGGCUGCGUUUGGGAACUCACAUCAGUAGCUUGGAAUCCGUUGUGGUGGGAGGUUUCACACCACUGAUACCCACAGACACUGUGACUCAGGGCUUGACUCACUGUUGUGAUUGUCUCUAGACCUAGCAAGUGAUGGAGGAAGAUGCAGAUCAAACUGCAAAUGUAGCUGUUACAUUGUGAAUGGCACAGAAAAUUGAAGAAACUGUCUCACAGCCUCUGGAAACUGUUUUCUACUUAAGCAAAGAAGUCACUCAGUCACUGAACAAGUGAAGCUCUGGCAUUCGUCCUGCUGCUUCGCCUUCAUCUGACUCAUCGGUGAAAACAUCCCCAGCAUUCUUGUCAGAACCACACUCAUUCAUCAGCUGCAACCCUGUGUUGGCUUCAGAUGUAGGGCUCAGCAAGACUCAAUGAAAGCAUUCCAUAAAAACUGGCUCUGUGGGAUUUACAACAGUACUGUAUAUUUUAUUCAUGUUUCUAAGUUGCAUGCUGCUCCUUUUAUAUCUGUAACAUGUACAGUAAGCUUAUGUACACACAUAUGUGCCCACACUGGAGCAGGGUAGCCUGUUUAGCAUUUACUAGCACACCACUGGGUCCCAGAUGUCCUUGGGAACAGAUCAAGGCAGUGCAAAGGCCCUGUGCUGGUGAGGGGCUGAGAGUUGGUGGGAACUAAUCAGCCUCUGGCAGGUGCCUCCCCCAUCCCACCCUCCAGGACUGGUGAGAUUGGUCUGUGUGGUACAGCUGCAGGAGAAAAAAGUGUGAGGCCAGACCUGAGGGAUGAGGAGUGAGUGUGGGUUUCUGCUGGCCCACCUCCCGCUAUGCCCUCAGGCACUGAGGUCCCACCUUCUGCCUUCUGGCCAAGCAGCCAAUGCCUCCAGGGGAAAAUGACCUCAUAAGGAGAAAUGAGAAAUCUGCAGAGCACAACUAUCUAAAGCUCAAAAUGGUAAUACUGAAUAGAGAUCCUAUUAGAAUAGAUUCUAGCGUUUUAGAACACAGUCCAGGAAGAGAUCAGAAAACAGAACCAAGCAGAAUUUGAAAAAGUGAACACAACAGAUGAACUAAAUAAUGGAAUGAACUUACCAUUGGAAGACCACAUGGAAAAGGAGAGGGUAACAAAAAAGAAAAUAUAGAAAUACUAAAAUAUUUGGCUGAUAGAAGUGCUAACAUCUGGCUAAUAUGAUGUUCAUGGACUUUGCCACACCCACAGACUGAAGGCAUCACAGAUGAAAGGAUGUGUCUGAGACGGGCUUAAAACAGCAACAGGAGCCGGGCAUGGUGGCUGACGCCUGUAAUCCCAGCACUUUGGGAGGCUGAGGUGGGCAGAUCAUGAGGUCAGGCAUUUGAGACCAGCCUGGCCAGUAUGGUGAAACUCUGUCUCUACUAAAAAUACAAAAAUUAGCCGGGCGUGGUGGCAUGCACCUGUAGUCCCAGCUACUCAGGAGGCUGAGGCAAAAGAAUCGCUUGAACCCAGAAGGCAGAGGUUGCAGUGAGCCAAGACCACACCACUGUACUCCAGCCUGGGCGACUGAGCGAGCCUCCAUCUCAAAAAAAAAAAAAAAAAACCUUGGCCUCCAAAGUGCUGGGAUUACAGACAUGAGCCACCACGCUCAGCUGUCCAGUUUUGUUUUUUGUGGNNNNNNNNNNNNNNNNNNNNNNNNNCUGUGGGGGGAACUGGUUUCGGGAGCCUGGCGGGGGCUGUACAGGGGCGGCUGUGGGGGGGAACUGGUCCGGAGCCCUGGGGCAAGCUGUUGGGGGACUGGGUUCGGGGCCCUGGGCGGGGGGGGGUGUAGGGGGCGGCUUGGGGGAACUGUUCGGGGAGCCCUGGGCGGGCGGGGGGGGGUGACUGUAGGAAGGAACUGGGUUCCGGGAGCCCUGGCCGGGGCGGGGGGCAGCUGUAGAAGGAGUUGGGUUCAGGAGCCCUGGGCGGGUGGCUGUUGGGGGGAACGGGUUCAGGGCCCUGGGCGGGGCGCUGUGGGGAGGAACUGUGUUGGGGAGCCCUGGGCGGGGGGUGUACGGGGCGGCUGUUGGGGGGAACUGGGUUGGGG
rnacentral:lncRNA from 1 species